rnacentral:tRNA from 1 species
GAGGGGAGGUACAACCAAUGGGAACUGCUAACUCUCACAUCUGAGCAUAAAACCUCAGUCCCCUUA